UCCUACGGGGGGCAGCAGUAGGGAAUUUUCGUCAAUGGGCGCAAGCCUGAACGAGCAAUGCCGCGUGAACGAGGAAGGUCUUCGGAUCGUAAAGUUCUGUUGAAGGGGAAAAAGAGCGGAGAGAGGAAAUGGUCUCCGAUUGAUAUUACCCUUCGAGGAAGUCACGGCUAACUACGUGCCAGCAGCCGCGGUAAUACGUAGGUGGCGAGCGUUAUCCGGAAUGAUUGGGCGUAAGGGGUGCGUAGGCGGCCUGCUAAGUCUGGAGUGAAAGGUACCGGCUCAACCGGUACAGGCUCUGGAAACUG
rnacentral:rRNA from 1 species